GCCAGUGUGGCACAGUGGUUUGAGUGUUAGACAAUGACUCUGGAGACGAGGGUUCAAAGUCCGGCUCAGCCA